rnacentral:lncRNA from 1 species
UUGACAGGUCGAUUUGUUGAGACUCUAGUGUCUCUUGGAUUUGUUCAUCACUAAGAAAAAAAGGAGCGACAAGACAGCAUUAGAAUGAUAAUUAAUUCUUUAAUAAUCAACUUGUUUUUUGCUUGGUAAUUGUGUCGUGAUUUAUUUUCGAAACCAGUCGAGUGUCCAACGCCCAUCGUCAAUCACGCGUGCAAGUGAAAGUGACAACGUCGGAAACAGCAGAAAUAAUAAAAGAGAUGAAAUGACCGAAUUUAUAACGGAACAAACAGCCGAAGGAAAGCCAUGACAGGAGGAACAAGGCGAUCGUUCCAUUAUUCCGCUCACGGAAUAUUCCAAAGACUCGUAUGGCUGCAUCACAUCUUGUGUUGGAACAUCUCCAAGUUAUGCAAAGUGUCGCCAUUUUAUGCAUUAUGAUUUUGGGCUUUUUUGAGAGAACCUUCCGUCUUUUGGUUUGUGUCGAAUCGUCCUGACCUUUCUCCCUUUUCGUUGCGACACAAAUAUCCUGCCGCCCACAACGGUCUGUUAAGUGGAGAGGUUCUGGGUGCAUUUCGAUCGAUAUCUCGUCCCGUGAAGGGUCCGCGAAUUGGUUUCGACGGGUUUCGAUGAUUCUAGUUGCGGCCUUUACGUUAGUGCUGCACGUGAUGGGUAUAGAAUUUGUGUCUAAUCGUCGUGUAUAUCGAUUUCAUCUUCGGUUAUCUAGUGCUUUAUUUAGUGAUCCAGUAGCUUUGCAAAUCAAUUUUCAUCCCAAAUAGGACGUCAUCACUACCUGUUAUGAUGAUGUGUUCCUAUAUUGCAUCCCUAAAGAUAGUCUGUGUCUUUGUCGGUAGCAAGGAUUCCUUAAAUUUCCGUGCGUAAUCUGAAGUGAUUUAUUAAAUUGAUUUGAAACGAAAUGUUUGUUUUGAAGACUGCUGUCUGCCCAUUAAUGUGAAUAAUUCCAUAAUUCGUGCGUCUUGUGAU